AUACAAGUGAUUGUGCUGGAUCUUGCAAAGGUUCAGUUUAGUAUUAUGAUACUUAUGCU
rnacentral:tRNA from 1 species